rnacentral:rRNA from 1 species
AGUGAACGCUGGCGGUAGGCCUAACACGUGCAAGUCGAACGGCAGCACAGGAGAGCUUGCUCUCUGGGUGGCGAGUGGCGGACGGGUGAGGAAUACAUCGGAAUCUACUUUUUCGUGGGGGAUAACGUAGGGAAACUUACGCUGAUACCGCAUACGACCUACGGGUGAAAGCAGGGGAUCUUCGGACCUUGCGCGAUUGAAUGAGCCGAUGUCGGAUUAGCUAGUUGGCGGGGUAAAGGCCCACCAAGGCGACGAUCCGUAGCUGGUCUGAGAGGAUGAUCAGCCACACUGGAACUGAGACACGGUCCAGACUCCUACGGGAGGCAGCAGUGGGGAAUAUUGGACAAUGGGCGCAAGCCUGAUCCAGCCAUACCGCGUGGGUGAAGAAGGCCUUCGGGUUGUAAAGCCCUUUUGUUGGGAAAGAAAUCCAGCUGGUUAAUACCCGGUUGGGAUGACGGUACCCAAAGAAUAAGCACCGGCUAACUUCGUGCCAGCCGCCGCAGUAA